rnacentral:rRNA from 1 species
UGAGUGCGAGCUGCUACGGCAGCGAAGUUGGUGACGUCAUGCUUCCAAGAAAAGCCCUAUACCCGUUAAGGCAUCAUGGCCUGUACCCGAAACCGACACAGGUGGGGUGGUAGAGAAUACCGAGGGGCGCGAGGUAACUCUCUCUAAGGAACUCGGCAAAAUGGCCCCGUAACUUCGGGAGAAGGGGUGCCACCGCAAGGUGGUCGCAGUGAAGAGGCCCAGGCGACUGUUUACCAAAAACACAGGUCUCCGCUAGGUCGCAAGACGAUGUAUGGGGGCUGACGCCUGCCCAGUGCCGGAAGGUUAAGGAAGCUGGUCAGCGCAAGCGAAGCUAGCGACUGAAGCCCCGGUGAACGGCGGCCGUAACAAUAACGGUCCUAAGGUAGCGAAAUUCCUUGUCGGGUAAGUUCCGACCCGCACGAAAGGCGUAACGAUCUGGGCGCUGUCUCGGAGAGAGGCUCGGCGAAAUAGAAUUGUCUGUGAAGAUGCGGACUACGUGCACCCGGACAGAAAGACCCUAUGAAGCUCUACUGUAGCUUGGUAUUGUGCCCGGGCUCGCAAUGCGCAGGAUAGGUGGGAGGCUUUGAUCAUCGGCUUGCGGGUCGAUGUGAGCCAACGGUGAGAUACCACUCUUUGCGAGCUAGGGUUCUAACGGCCACCCGUCAUCCGGGGGCCGGACAGUACCUGGUGGGCAGUUUGACUGGGGCGGUCGCCUCCUAAAAGGUAACGGAGGCGCGCAAAGGUUUGCUCAGGCUGGUUGGAAAUCAGCCGACGAGUGUAAAAGCAGAAGCAAGCUUGACUGUGAGACCAACAAGUCGAACAGGGAGGAAACUCGGCUUUAGUGAUCCGACGGUUCUGAGUGGAAGGGCCGUCGCUCAACGGAUAAAAGUUACUCUAGGGAUAACAGGCUGAUCUCCCCCAAGAGUUCACAUCGACGGGGGGGUUUGGCACCUCGAUGUCGGCUCAUCGCAACCUGGGGCUGAAGUCGGUCCCAAGGGUUGGGCUGUUCGCCCAUUAAAGCGGUACGCGAGCUGGGUUCAGAACGUCGUGAGACAGUUCGGUCAUAUCCGGUGCACGCGCAGGAAUAUUGAGAGGAUUUCUCCCUAGUACGAGAGGACCGGGAGGAACGCACCUCUGGUGUACCAGUUAUCGUGCCAACGGUAAACGCUGGGUAGCCAUGUGCGGAGUGGAUAACCGCUGAAAGCAUCUAAGUGGGAAGCCCACCUCAAGAUGAGUAUUCCCAUGGCGUAAGCCAGUAAGGUCACGGGAAGAACACCCGUUGAUAGGCUCUAUGUGGAAGCGCAGUAAUGCGUGAAGCAGAGGAGUACUAAUAGACCGAGGGCUUGACA